rnacentral:rRNA from 1 species
AGACGCAGCCUGAUCAGCAUGCCGCGUGCGUGAUGAAGGCCUUCGGGUUGUAAACCUCUUUUGUCCGGAACGAAACUGAUCUGACCAGUACCCUGGGCUCCGGCCAACUCCGUGCCAAUAACCGCCGGAAAACUGCGGGCCCUCGCGUUGUUCGGAAUUUCUGGGGGUAACGUGCAUCUGAGUUACUUUUUAUAUCGGGGGUGAAAGCCCGGGUGUCAAACCCGGAAGUGCCCCCGAGACUGAACCUGUAAAUGCUUGUAGAGGCUGCUGGGAUUCCGAGUGGAAAAGGGAAAUGGAAUUAUAUUCGGAAGAACACCAUGGGUAAAUGUGACUCGGAGCACCGAUGUUGAAGGUAAUCCCCUGAACCUGGGCGAACACACAGGAUUAAAUACCCGGGGAGCCCACGCGAUAAAAUACCAUGACUAUCCGCCCCGUAACCUAGAACUUGGGUGGGUUGGCUCUCUUCUGACUUUAUCCCCCUGGGGAGUACGGUCGUUGAAUUACAGGUCAGAGAAGUUGGACGGA